GACGAACGCUGGCGGCGUGCUUAACACAUGCAAGUCGAACGAUGAAGAAGAGAAACGCGAACUUCGGUUCAAAUUUCACUUCGGAUUAGUGGCAGACGGGUGAGUAACGCGUGAGCAACCUACCUCUUACAAAGGGAUAGCCUCGGGAAACCGUGAUUAAUACCAUAUGACACAUUCAUAAGGCAUCUUAAGAAUGUUAAAGCUACGGCGGUAAGAGAUGGGCUCGCGUCCCAUUAGCUAGUUGGUGAGGUAACGGCCCACCAAGGCGACGAUGGGUAACCGGCCUGAGAGGGUGAACGGUCACAUUGGAACUGAGACACGGUCCAAACUCCUACGGGAGGCAGCAGUGGGGAAUAUUGCCCAAUGGAGGGAACUAUGAUGCAGCGACGCCGCGUGAGCGAUGAAGGAAUUCGUUUCGUAAAGCUAUGUUAUAUGGGAAGAAAAGGACUGUACCAUAGGAGAAAGCCCCGGCUAAAUACGUG
rnacentral:rRNA from 1 species